rnacentral:rRNA from 1 species
ACGAACGCUGGCGGCGUGGAUAAGACAUGCAAGUCGAACGGGAGAAUUGCUAGCUUGCUAAUAAUUCUCUAGUGGCGCACGGGUGAGUAACACGUGAGUAACCUGCCUCUUAGUGGGGGAUAGCCCUGGGAAACCGGGAUUAAUACCGCAUACGAUUGAAAGAUCAAAGCAGCAAUGCGCUAGGAGAUGGGCUCGCGGCCUAUUAGUUAGUUGGUGAGGUAACGGCUCACCAAGGCGAUGACGGGUAGCCGGUCUGAGAGGAUGUCCGGCCACACUGGAACUGAGACACGGUCCAGACACCUACGGGUGGCAGCAGUCGAGAAUCAUUCACAAUGGGGGCAACCCUGAUGGUGCGACGCCGCGUGGGGGAAUGAAGGUCUUCGGAUUGUAAACCCCUGUCAUGUGGGAGCAAAUUAAAAAGAUAGUACCACAAGAGGAAGAGACGGCUAACUCUGUGCCAGCAGCCGCGGUAAUACAGAGGUCUCAAGCGUUGUUCGGAAUCACUGGGCGUAAAGCGUGCGUAGGCUGUUUCGUAAGUCGUGUGUGAAAGGCAGGGGCUCAACCCCUGGAUUGCACAUGAUACUGCGAGACUAGAGUAAUGGAGGGGGAACCGGAAUUCUCGGUGUAGCAGUGAAAUGCGUAGAUAUCGAGAGGAACACUCGUGGCGAAGGCGGGUUCCUGGACAUUAACUGACGCUGAGGCACGAAGGCCAGGGGAGCGAAAGGGAUUAGAUACCCCUGUAGUCCUGGCAGUAAACGGUGCACGCUUGGUGUGCGGGGAAUCGACCCCCUGCGUGCCGGAGCUAACGCGUUAAGCGUGCCGCCUGGGGAGUACGGUCGCAAGAUUAAAACUCAAAGAAAUUGACGGGGACCCGCACAAGCGGUGGAGUAUGUGGCUUAAUUCGAUGCAACGCGAAGAACCUUACCUGGGCUUGACAUGUAAUGAACAACAUGUGAAAGCAUGCGACUCUUCGGAGGCGUUACACAGGUGCUGCAUGGCCGUCGUCAGCUCGUGUCGUGAGAUGUUUGGUUAAGUCCAGCAACGAGCGCAACCCCUGUUGCCAGUUACCAGCACGUCAAGGUGGGGACUCUGGCGAGACUGCCCAGAUCAACUGGGAGGAAGGUGGGGACGACGUCAGGUCAGUAUGGCCCUUAUGCCCAGGGCUGCACACGUACUACAAUGCCCAGUACAGAGGGGGCCGAAGCCGCGAGGCGGAGGAAAUCCUGAAAACUGGGCCCAGUUCGGACUGUAGGCUGCAACCCGCCUACACGAAGCCGGAAUCGCUAGUAAUGGCGCAUCAGCUACGGCACCGUGAAUACGUUCCCGGGUCUUGUACACACCGCCCGUCACAUCAUGGAAGCCGGUCGCACCCGAAGUAUCUGAAGCCAACCGCAAGGAGGCAGGGUCCUAAGGUGAGACUGGUAACUGGGAUG